rnacentral:rRNA from 1 species
AGCGAACGCUGGCGGCAGGCUUAACACAUGCAAGUCGAACGGGCACUUCGGUGCUAGUGGCAGACGGGUGAGUAACGCGUGGGAACGUACCUUUCGGUUCGGAAUAAUUCAGGGAAACUUGGACUAAUACCGGAUACGCCCUUCGGGGGAAAGAUUUAUCGCCGAUAGAUCGGCCCGCGUCUGAUUAGCUAGUUGGUGAGGUAAUGGCUCACCAAGGCGACGAUCAGUAGCUGGUCUGAGAGGAUGAUCAGCCACAUUGGGACUGAGACACGGCCCAAACUCCUACGGGAGGCAGCAGUGGGGAAUAUUGGACAAUGGGCGCAAGCCUGAUCCAGCCAUGCCGCGUGAGUGAUGAAGGCCUUAGGGUUGUAAAGCUCUUUUUUCAGGGAGGAAUUAAUGACGUGUACCUGAAGAAUAAGCACCGGCUAACUCUGUGCCAGCAGCCGCGGUAAAAC